rnacentral:rRNA from 1 species
UACGUAGGGUGCAAGCGUUGUCCGGAAUUAUUGGGCGUAAAGAGCUCGUAGGCGGUUUGUCGCGUCGAAUGUGAAAACCCGGGGCUCAACCCCGGGCCUGCAUUCGAUACGGGCAGACUAGAGUUCGGUAGGGGAGUCUGGAAUUCCCGGUGUAGUGGUGAAAUGCGUAGAUAUCGGGAGGAACACCAGUGGCGAAGGCGACUUCCUGGCCUGUUCUUGACGCUGAGGCGCGAAAGCUAGGGGAGCAAACGGG